UUGUGGAGGAGGACGCCGAAGGUGGGGCUAAUGACUGGGGUGAAGUCGUAACAAGGUAGCCGUACCGGAAGGUGCGGCUGGAUCACCUCCUAACAGGGAGACAACAAAAUGUUUAAUAUUAUUAUUUUGUCACCUUAGGUCGAUCGGUAUCUCACUUUCUUAAUUUAUUAAGAAUUUCAUUUCCUAAGUUUUUCUAGGUCACACCCAUUAUUUUCCUGGGCCAUUAGCUCAGGUGGUUAGAGCGCACCCCUGAUAAGGGUGAGGUCCCUGGUUCAAGUCCAGGAUGGCCCAUAUCUCUAUGUUGGGGGUAUAGCUCAGUUGGUAGAGCGCCUGCUUUGCAAGCAGGAUGUCAGCGGUUCGAGUCCGCUUACCUCCACUGAUUACCACCUCAUACGUAAUCUGUAGAAAGGAAAAUUUUGAGUUGUGACUACCAUUCUGAACGAAUCUAGCUUCCUAAUGAAACUAUUAAGAUGCUGGACUCAUUGAAUUAAUUUCAUUGUUUUCAGAGAACCUUGACAACUGCAUAGAUUAUUUUUAAAGACAAUAAGCAUUUUUAAUGAUGCAGAUCUAUUAUUUGUGCAAAUGCAUUAAUAACAAUUCUAUUAAGCUGAUGCUUCAAUUAUGAAGUUAUUGGUCAAGCUACAA
rnacentral:misc_RNA from 1 species